rnacentral:rRNA from 1 species
CUACGGGCCGCUGCAGUGAGGAAUAUUGCACAAUGGGGGGAACCCUGAUGCAGCAACGCCGCGUGGAGGAUGACGCAUUUCGGUGUGUAAACUCCUUUUAUAUGUCAAGAAAAUGACGGUAGCAUAUGAAUAAGCACCGGCUAACUCCGUGCCAGCAGCCGCGGUAAUACGGAGGGUGCAAGCGUUACUCGGAAUCACUGGGCGUAAAGGACGCGUAGGCGGGUUGGAAAGUCAGGUGUGAUAUCCUACAGCUUAACUGUAGAACUGCACUUGAAACUUCUAAUCUAGAGUAUGGGAGGGGGAGAUGGAAUUAGUGGUGUAGGGAUAAAAUCCGUAGAUAUCACUAGGAAUACCUAAAGCGAAGGCGAUCUCCUGGAACAUUACUGACGCUAAGGCGUGAAAGCGUGGGGAGCAAACAGGAUUAGAAUACCCUUGUAGUC